AUAAAAAGAAGACAAAUGUAACAUCACAUAUUUGAAUAUGAUGGUCGGGUACAAUGUGGUGGGUUACACUUUCCCGUACAAAUAUUCCUGAAACAAAGUGAAAUUUUAUCACCAUUCCAUCUCCUUAUAAAGCUCAUGGACCCUACCUAGUGCUCACUCGCUAGCUUCAAGCGCACCCGCGAGCUCCUUUCUCUUAGUUUCUUCUUCAUCGAUAACUUGUCGUAGACCCCAACUAAUAACCUUGCUUUCAGCAACAGAUACUUGAAGCGACCAUAACAAUUCCCUUAUCGAGGGCCUCUUGGCACAAGAUGAAGAUCCAGAGGGGAACACACACUCCCUGACCUCUCUCGGCGUAUGUUCCUCUCAUUUCUUCAUCACAUCAUCAAGAUAAUAGGGAUACCUCCUUCCAUCAAGCUGCUCGCGCCAGGGAAACAGGGUAUUUCCUUCACCAUUCGGAGAUGUUAAUUUCAGUGAACCCCCUAGAGCAGCACCAGCAGGCAAUUCUUCUAGAAUGGGAUCAAUUGGUGGUGCAGGAAGGGCAACUGUUACCACCACACCUCCUGAAGUUGUCGCAUGAUCCCUCCUCCUCUUAUGGCAAGCUUCCUUCAGUUCAUUCGUUACUUCAUCAUCACUAUCAACCUCGGUACUUGCAAAGCUCGCUAGCACCCUCUGCUUCUUGCGAGAGCUACCACUACCUUCACCUGUUGCGGACAUGCGGUACUAGCAUUUCUACCUUGCAAAUUCUGCAUAAGAGACCUGACAUCCAUUAUGCAUCUAAGUUCUUCUGAUGAAUUUGCAGAUCCCUCCAAAUGCGAACCCUUCGUGCGAACACCAGCAGUGCCUGCAUCACCAAUAACAUUAUCAUCAACACCAGUAGUUAUCGUAAGUGUUCUCACAUAACCUUCUUGGCCAUUUGCAGAUAUGGAAGACCAAUAGUGUGUAUGCAACUUACAGUAAGAAUACAAAAAAUUUACAAGUUCCUCCUUUUUUCCUAACAAAAUUAAACCCAGAUCGUCAAUGGCGUCAUGAGGCCAUGGGAACCCUGCAGGCAGCACAGGGCAAUAGGAAACCUCCCUCCAUGUCACUCAAUCUCCUUGCGCCUUCAACAAUCGAAAAAUCAAAGGCAAAAUUUAGCAACUGAAUACACCGGACGACUAGAUGACGAACCAUCUCCUCUUGCUUUGUCGAGCACAAAUAGGUGUUUCCUUCGACAGGUACAUAGGCCUCAUGACGCUCUUGACGGUUACCACCCUCAUCCACAAAUCUAGACCUACAAGCCUGGUUACCACAGCCAGUACAGCCACCGUCCCUUCCACCCAACCCGAUUCUAACUCUAACCAUGAUAAACAAUCACGCUUAGAACAACUGAAACGACGGUAAAAAAUUCGAGGGUUUUUACCUAUAAACGACAAAUCUCUUCUCACUGGUAGCCCCUUUUGAAAAAACGCAAGAUAUGUGUAAGUUAGGGCUAAGUAUAAGUUGUUUUAAGGAAGAAAAUUUUUUCAGAACGGUUUUUUUCCUUAAGAAAAAGAGCCGCAAUCAUACGACAAAACAUAAGCAGUAAGUUUUACACCAAAACGUAAGUAAUAAGCCUCAAUCACAUGCUUCACUCGUGAAACCUUCUCUCAAAAGAGUUACUUUAUAACUCGUCUUCAGCAAGG
rnacentral:lncRNA from 1 species